UGAGCUGGUAGGUUCGGAGAUACUCCGGAUCUACGUACCCUGCUGUGCCCUUGAUCUGCGUGGAGAUGUGCGUGGCGUCCGGGUCCUCGGGGCCCAGCCGCGCGAAUCCGAAGUCAGCCACCUUGGCCCUGAGCGUCUCGGGUCUUCUUCAUCUGCGAAUGUGAGAGGAGAUUUUACCUGAGUAUGCGUGCAGAUAAGUGAUUGCAUGACAUACGUCAAUGGCGAUCUCCAGCCGCUGUGCAAUCUCCAGCCCAUUCCCUCUGGAGCCUGCAUCACAAGAUAACAUUUUGAUGGUGUCUAAUAAAUCCCUUUUAAUGCCCUUUUACUUGAAGCUUUAUCUGUUGAAGGCCUAAUUCUUCCUGUCAAUUGGCAUCUAGAAGGAACAGAUAAAACCUAGUACUUAAGAUUGGAUUUCUCAAUACAUGUCUGAAGAGUUGACCCUCUCUCAUGUUUAUAUCAACAGGUCAUGUAAGGCAGCCUCCUCGCCAGAUUUCCCGCAUGCUGGAACCAACCACAUGAUGAACGUCCGUGCAGCUCCUCGGACUGAGUUUUGGAAAGCCUUUGUGCUGGGGAACUUUUUGCCAG